rnacentral:rRNA from 1 species
AUGCAUCGGGGCGGCGUGCUCCUCGCGCAAGGGCGAAGCAGAGGAGGCGAGCAGGGUAGCGGGCAGCUUCGCUGGCGUCGGAACUCGACGGAGAUGAAGCAUGCGAGGUGGGAGAGGGUCCUGGCCUCGUGGGGGUCGGGAACGGGCGCGGCGGCGCCGAUUUCCUCCAGAUCUGGCGCGACGACAUCGGACGCUGACGAGGGCACCCGGCAGGGUGGUUGCUUCCACGAGCACCAUGAGAGAACUCCUGAGAAAGAGAAAACAGAGAGACAUGAGGCAGGGAGGAAGAAGAAAACCGAUGGGAGGAAGGGAGCGAGCGGCAGGGCUCAUCUGUAG